GGCUUGUCAUACUCCUAAUGCGCAAUAUGAUUCAGCUGUAAUGAGUGCCAGCUUCUGUCUUCAAGGCCUUAAAGCCAAAAUGUUAAGCGUAAAAUAAACAGUUGGUCCAAGCCUGAAAAUGGUAAAGUUCACCACACCAGGAAGCAGGAAAUUCAGCUGGCAAACCGAUGAGAGAAGAACCUAUCCAAGAGUGAAGCAACAGCUUAUGGCAUACCUUUAUAUCGAUGCUGCUAAGACCCACCCUGUUUGGUACAUUUGGCAGAACACCAAGGCAGACAUACUGAC